rnacentral:rRNA from 1 species
AUUGAACGCUGGCGGCAUGCGUAACACAUGCAAGUCGAACGGUGUUUGGUGCUUGCACCAGACAUAGUGGCGGACGGGUGAGUAAUGCGUAGGAAUCUGUCUUAGAGAGGGGGACAACCCGAGGAAACUUGGGCUAAAACCGCAUAUUCUCGAGAGAGGAAAGCAGGGGACCGGAAACGGCCUUGUGCUCUAAGGUGAGCCUACGUCGGAUUAGCUAGUUGGUAGGGUAAGAGCCUACCAAGGCGAUGAUCUGUAGCUGGUCUGAGAGGACGGACAGCCACACUGGGACUGAGACACGGCCCAGACUCCUACGGGAGGCAGCAGUGGGGAAUAUUGGACAAUGGGGGGAACCCUGAUCCAGCGAUGCCGCGUGUGUGAAGAAGGCCUGCGGGUUGUAAAGGCACUUUCAGUGGGAAAGAGAAGCGUCUUGUGAAUAAUGGGACGUGGAGACGUUACUCACAGAAGAAGCACCGGCUAACUCUGUGCCAGCAGCCGCGGUAAUC